rnacentral:lncRNA from 1 species
UGUAAACAUCAAGUAUAUAUUGGUGUCUUCUUUGGGACGGAUUUUGAGUUCCCAGUUACUCGUCAAACGUUCUUCUGAUCCAAAUAUACUUUGCAGCUGAAAACAGUCCUGAUCCUGACCUCUUAUCACCAGUCUUAAAUGCUGAGUCACAGAUGGAGAGUUAUUUCUUAAAGUUAACUUCUGUUGGACUGAUUCUCCAAGCU